rnacentral:sRNA from 1 species
UGUAAAUUGUCUCCUAUGGUGGUCAUCUU